GCUCCGCCCAACCGGCCCUCCUGCCCCUAGCUUACCUCAGUGCAAUGGCCCCUCACUCGCUGCGAGAUCCGGAUUCCAGAAGGAGAAGACUCGGGACUCAGUAGGGGGUGGGGGCUGGGAUACCAGCCUCUAAGAACAGCCAGCCCUCGGGGAGAAAAACCUGUCGCCCUGAGGGUCUUGAGCAUCUUGAACUCUUUCCUCCCCUGCCAGCCACUGCCACCUCCUCUCUUGCUAGGAUCCAGUCACUCUCCCUGCCUUUUCCGUUACGCCAGUGAAGGAGAACUCUGAAAGUUUGCAAAGUGAGGGGCUGCAAGGAGUGUGCCAGAGCGGAACCGCAAGAGGCGAUUAAAGAAGGGUGCCUGAUUAACUGGCAGAAGACAGUACUGCUGAAGGUGGACACCACUGGCCAUUUUGAGGGAUGUGAUUUGCAGGCUUCUGGCUCCAAAACUCAAAUUUAUUGGUGCUCAGGCCAAAAACUGGAGGCAUCCUUGACUUCCCUCAUUAUCCCGGGACUCCUCUAAUCAUCAUCUCCCUGCUACUGCUCCUGUCCUGGUCCUGGCCACCAUCAUUCUCACCUGGAUCACUGCAACAGCUUCCUAAAUGGUUUGUUUCCACCUCUGCCUCCCAACAGUCUGUUCUCAACAUGGCAUCAGGGUGAUCCUUCUAAAACAUAAGUUAGAUGUCAAUCCUCUGCACAAAACUCAGCAUGAAAAGUCCUUACAAAGACCAACAAGCUUCUUUAUGUGAGUCCCCUUGCCUCCCUGCCUAGCCCACUUUGCUUCAACCAAGAUGGUUGUUACACCUUUUCUGACAUGCCAGGCACAUUCCUGUCUUAAGGCAUUUGUACUGUUGCCUCUUCCCCUAGAUAUGCACAUGACUAUCUAUUAAAUACCACUUCAAUAAAACCUACCCUGACAUGCCCUAUUUAAAAUUAUAGCCCAUCUUCACCCCAAGCCCUUCUAAGUCCUGCUGAAUUGUUUCAGGUGGUGCCUGCUAACAUAUAAUUUACUUAUUUAUCAUGUUUGGGGAGAAGGAAGUUAGCCAAGAGUCCUGCUGCAGACGUGUUGAACAAGAGCUAGAAGGGAAUGAGGCUAGGGGAAUAUGAAGGGUGGAGAUAAAGUGCAAACUGGGAGAAGAUAUUUGUACCAUAUAUAACUGGUUAAGGAUUAAUACCCAGGAUAUAUAAAGAACACCUUCAAAUUGACCAGGAAAAAAAAAAGCAAGCAAUCUAUAUAAGUUUGUUACUGUAGUUGUUGUAACAAAUUACCACAAACUUAAUGACUUAAGACAACACAAAUUUAUUACUUUACAGUACUGGAGAUCAAAAAUCCAAAGUCACAGGGCUUAAAUCAAGGUGUCAGCACAGCUGUGUUCCUUCUGGAGACUUUAGGGAAAAAUCCAUUUCCUUGCUUUUAUGGGUUUACUAGAGGAUGACCAUAUUCCUCUAGUAAGGACCCCUUUCAUCUUCAGAGCCAAUAAUCACAUCACUCAGACUUUUGCUUCCAUCAUCAUAUCUCUUCUGGUUCUUCAGUCUCUUUCUUUCACUUACUAGGACCCUUGUGAUUACAGGGCACCCACCCAAACAAUCCAGGAUAAUUUCAUCAUUUCCAGAUCCUUAAUUUAGUCAUAUCUGCAAAAUCCCCUUUGUCAUGUAAGGUAACAUACUCACUCACAGGUUCUGGGUGGACAUCUUUGGGGUGGGGUGGCAUUGUUCUACUUAUCAUACAAUCUAAUAGAAAAAUAGACAAAAGACAUGAAAAGACAUUCCAAGAUGGAGUAAACAUAUAUGAAACCUUUAUUCUUCAGGGAAAUUAAAACUAAAAUCACAAUGAAAUACCACCACAUACUCCUCAAGUUACCAAAAAUUUUUAAAAAUAAUUGAGAACGAGGAACAAAGGACAACACUUUCAUUAAAUAUUUGACAGAAUGUAGGAAGUUUGAACAUGCACAUACUUUACAACUCAGCAAUUCUGCUCCAAGAUAUUAGAAGUUAUUGUAUGCAUAUGUGCAACAGAAGACCUACAAGAAUGUUACUGCCAGCACUGCUAAAAAAAAAAUAGUCCCUCCAGCCCUGGCUAGUGUGGCUCAGUGGACUGAGCGCCAGCCUGUGAACUGAAUGAUUCCCAGUUCAAUUCUCUGUCAGGGCACAUGCCUGGGUUGCCACCAGGUCCCCAUUUGGUGGCAAACAAGAGGCAGCCAGUCAGUGUUUCUCUCCUUCACUUUCUCCCUCCCUUCUCAUCUCUCUGAAAAUGAAUAAAUAACAUGGCUUUUUAAAAAAAAUAGUCCCUUCAAAAAAACCCAAAAGGAAAAAAGAUUAAUAAAUUGGAUAGAGCCAAACAAUGAAGUAUUAUACAGCAGUAAAAAAAACUAUAGCUACAUAUAAUUCCAUAUGGUGUAAUUCCUUCUAAGCAACACUUCCCAAAUGUUGGUGUAUAUACAAAUUACCUGGGGAUCUUGUUAAAUGCAGAUUCUAAUUCUGUAGCUCAGAAAUGGGGCAUGAAAUUCUGCAUUUCCAAUGAGCUCUCUGCUGGUCCACAAGCUACACUUUAUGUGAGAAGGAUGCAUAGUUAGGGAUGCAUGUAUAAUGAUAAAACUAUUUUUCUUUCUCUCUUUUGUUU